rnacentral:rRNA from 1 species
AACGAACGCUGGCGGCAUGCCUAACACAUGCAAGUCGAACGAGACCUUCGGGUCUAGUGGCGCACGGGUGCGUAACGCGUGGGAACCUGCCCUUAGGUUCGGAAUAACUCCCCGAAAGGGGUGCUAAUACCGGAUAAUGUCUUCGGACCAAAGAUUUAUCGCCUUUGGAUGGGCCCGCGUGGGAUUAGCUAGUUGGUAGGGUAAAAGCCUACCAAGGCGACGAUCCAUAGCUGGUUUGAGAGGAUGAUCAGCCACACUGGGACUGAGACACGGCCCAGACUCCUACGGGAGGCAGCAGUGGGGAAUAUUGGACAAUGGGGGAAAGCCUGAUGGAGCAAUGACGGGUGAGUGAUGAAGGCCUUAGGGUUGUAAAGCUAUUUUACCCGGGAUGAUAAUGACGGUACCAGGAGAAUAAGCACCGGCUAACUCCGUG